GUGUCAGCAGCCGCGCGGUAAUACGGAGGGUGCAAGCGUUAAUCGGAAUUACUGGGCGUAAAGCGCACGCAGGCGGUUUGUUAAGUCAGAUGUGAAAUCCCCGGGCUCAACCUGGGAACUGCAUCUGAUACUGGCAAGCUUGAGUCUCGUAGAGGGGGGUAGAAUUCCAGGUGUAGCGGUGAAAUGCGUAGAGAUCUGGAGGAAUACCGGUGGCGAAGGCGGCCCCCUGGACGAAGACUGACGCUCAGGUGCGAAAGCGUGGAGAGCAAACAGGAUUAGAUAUCCUGGUAGUCCACGCCGUAAACGAUGUCGACUUGGAGGUUGUGCCCUUGAGGCGUGGCUUCCGGAGCUAACGCGUUAAGUCGACCGCCUGGGGAGUACGGCCGCAAGGUUAAAACUCAAAUGAAUUGACGGGGGCCCGCACAAGCGGUGGAGCAUGUGGUUUAAUUCGAUGCAACGCGAAGAACCUUACCUGGUCUUGACAUCCACGGAAGUUUUCAGAGAUGAGAAUGUGCCUUCGGGAACCGUGAGACAGGUGCUGCAUGGCUGUCGUCAGCUCGUGUUGUGAAAUGUUGGGUUAAGUCCCGCAACGAGUGCAACCCUUAUCCUUUGUUGCCAGCGGUCCGGCCGGGAACUCAAAGGAGACUGCCAGUGAUAAACUGGAGGAAGGUGGGGAUGACGUCAAGUCAUCAUGGCCCUUACGACCAGGGCUACACACGUGCUACAAUGGCGCAUACAAAGAGAAGCGACCUCGCGAGAGCAAGCGGACCUCAUAAAGUGCGUCGUAGUCCGGAUUGGAGUCUGCAACUCGACUCCAUGAAGUCGGAAUCGCUAGUAAUCGUGGAUCAGAAUGCCACGGUGAAUACGUUCCCGGGCCUUAUACACACCGCCCGUCACACCAUGGGAGUGGGUUGCAAAAGAGUAGUAGCUUAACCUUCGGGAGGGCGCUUACACUUUGUGAUUCAUGACUGGGGUGAAGUCGUACAGUACAUCAUAUGACUAG
rnacentral:rRNA from 1 species